GACGAACGCUGGCGGCGUGCUUAACACAUGCAAGUCGAACGGAAAGGCCCUGCUUUUGUGGGGUGCUCGAGUGGCGAACGGGUGAGUAACACGUGAGUAACCUGCCCUUGACUUUGGGAUAACUUCAGGAAACUGGGGCUAAUACCGGAUAGGAGCUCCUGCUGCAUGGUGGGGGUUGGAAAGUUUCGGCGGUGGGGGAUGGACUCGCGGCUUAUCAGCUUGUUGGUGGGGUAGUGGCGUACCAAGGCUUUGACGGGUAGCCGGCCUGGGAGGGUGACCGGCGACCUUGGGCCUGCGGUACGGCCCAGACUCCUACGGGAGGCAGCAGUGGGGAGUAUUGCACAAUGGGCGGACGCCUGAUGCAGCGACGCCGCGUGCGGGAUGCCGGCCUUCGGGUUGUAAACCGCUUUCGCCUGUGCCGAAGCGUGCGUGACGGUAAUGGGUAAAGAAGCACCGGCUAACUACGUG
rnacentral:rRNA from 1 species